AUUAUCGGAGAUACACCGGUGUAUUCGUACCCUUAUCAUUCUUGCGCCCCGUGUUAUAUUGUUGGCGACUGGACGGAGAACUGAUAAGGGCCCGGGUCACCUUGAUCCAACGUGGGACCAG
rnacentral:pre_miRNA from 11 species